rnacentral:rRNA from 1 species
GAUGAACGCUGGCGGCGUGCCUAAUACAUGCAAGUCGAGCGAACUGAUUAGAAGCUUGCUUCUAUGACGUUAGCGGCGGACGGGUGAGUAACACGUGGGCAACCUGCCUGUAAGACUGGGAUAACUUCGGGAAACCGACGCUAAUACCGGAUAGGAUCUUCUCCUCCAUGGGAGAUGAUUGAAAGAUGGUUCCGGCUAUCACUUACAGAUGGGCCCGCGGUGCAUUAGCUAGUUGGUGAGGUAACGGCUCACCAAGGCAACGAUGCAUAGCCGACCUGAGAGGGUGAUCGGCCACACCGGGACUGAGACACGGCCCAGACUCCUACGGGAGGCAGCAGUAGGGAAUCUUCCGCAAUGGACGAAAGUCUGACGGAGCAACGCCGCGUGAGUGAUGAAGGCUUUCGGGUCGUAAAACUCUGUUGUUAGGGAAGAACAAGUACAAGAGUAACUGCUUGUACCUUGACGGUACCUAACCAGAAAGCCACGGCUAACUACGUGCCAGCCGCCGCUGUAAUAC